UACGUAGGGGGGCAAGCGUUGUCCGGAUUUAUUGGGCGUAAAGAGCGUGUAGGCGGCCUGGAAGGUCAGCUGUGAAAACUCGAGGCUCAACCUCGAGACGUCGGUUUGAAAACCACCCUGGCUAGAGUCCGGAAGAGGAGAGUGGAAUUCCCGGUGUAGCGGUGAAAAUGCGCAGAUAUCGGGGAGGAACACCGGUGGCGAAGGCGGGGUCUCUGGGGCAAAUUCCCUUGACGCUGAGGCGCGAAAAGCGUGGGGGAGCAAAACGGGG
rnacentral:rRNA from 1 species